UUGGAGGGCAAGUCUGGUGCCAGCAGCCGCGGUAAUUCCAGCUCCAAUAGCGUAUAUUAAAGUUGUUGCAGUUAAAAAGCUCGUAGUUGAAUUUCGGGAUCAAGGGAUCGGUCAUGCCUUGGUAUGUACUGGUCUUAUUGGUUCUCACCUUCUAAAGAACCAUGAUGUCAUUCAUUUGAUGUUAUGGGGAAUUAGGACUGUUACCUUGAAAAAAUUAGAGUGUUUAAAGCAAGCUUACGCUUGAAUACAUUAGCAUGGAAUAAUGAAAUAGGACAUCAGAUUCUAUUUUGUUGGUUUCUAGGAUCGAUGUAAUGAUUAAUAGGGAUAGUUGGGGGCAUUAGUAUUCAAUUGUCAGAGGUGAAAUUCUUGGAUUUAUUGAAGACUAACUACUGCGAAAGCAUUUGCCAAGGAUGUUUUCAUUAAUCAAGAACGAAAGUUAGGGGAUCGAAGACGAUCAGAUACCGUCGUAGUCUUAACCAUAAACUAUGCCGACUAGGGAUCGGAUGAUGUUAAUUUUUUAAUGACUCAUUCGGCGCCUUACGGGAAAC
rnacentral:rRNA from 3 species